CAGUAGCCGCGGUAAUACGAAGGGGGCUAGCGUUGUUCGGAUUUACUGGGCGUAAAGCGCACGUAGGCGGAUCCUUAAGUCAGAGGUGAAAUCCCAAGGCUCAACCUUGGAACUGCCUUUGAUACUGAGGAUCUCGAGUUCGGGAGAGGUGAGUGGAACUGCGAGUGUAGAGGUGAAAUUCGUAGAUAUUCGCAAGAACACCAGUGGCGAAGGCGGCUCACUGGCCCGAUACUGACGCUGAGGUGCGAAAGCGUGGGGAGCAAACAGGAUUAGAGACCCCUGUAGUCCCUGUCUCUUAUAC
rnacentral:rRNA from 1 species